UAUUAUUUAUAAUCAUGUUAGUGGGUGGGUAAGUGUAAAAUUAUAAACUAAGUAUUGUCUUCUUUAUUGUUACUUUCAGUGUUUAAGCGUGUUGUGUGUUUAAAAUGGAAAAAGGAAGGCAAAUAAAAGUGUUUAAAACUAUUGAGGUGGAAUUAAAUAAGAGAUCGACGGGUUUGUUUACGAAAAAUGCAUGCUUCAAAAACUAAAUUAGUUCGAUUGUCUACAAGGAAUAAUAUAAAAAUGGGUAAUGAGCAAAUCGAAGAAGUAUCGCAUACAAUUUUCGUUGGCGUUGAUAUAGGCAAAUAUUUAAAUUGCUAACACCAAAUAGACAUAGUUUCCACUAAAAUUAAUAAAGUUAUUUAUGUUACCUAUAAAAAAACUGAAGUGUAACAUUUCAGAAAAAACCGCCGUACUUGUCUAUCAUAGCAUUCAUAGCUAUGUUGCUUCUGCAUUGCGCUAUGGAAUAGUAUUAUGGGGAAAUGGCACAAAUAUAAAACAAGCUUUCAUAGCACAAAAAAAUCAUCAGGGCUAUAGCAGGAGUCAAGUGGUCAGAGUCAUGCAGGCCGUUUUUUUUUUAAACUUGGAGUUGGUGGUAUUAUCGAUAAAUAUAGUUUUAUGGGUCGAUGGAUGGAGCAUCAGACAAUCACAUAAAUGGACUUAGUGUUAUACCUCUCAGAUUUUUUCGUGUAUAACAUCUUUGGUAAUUGGAACAUUUUUGGCUGUGCAGGCGGUUAUUGUAAUCAUUAAGGAUCGGGAUAUACCUGUGAUACGAAUGUUUUCCUUGGUGGGCUGGUUCUUUGCAAGCUGGUCCAUAUUCAUCGGAAUAACUCAGCAAACGGAUAAAUUGAACGUGCAACUUCAGCGUACCAAACUUAUAUGCACUUAUAUUCAACUAAAACCUAAUCAUUCUGACGAACUUUUCUCUCUCUCCCGACGCAUCCUGGAUACACUGGCCGUGAGCGACUGCAGGAUCUCCAUUUAUAAUCUAUUUUACUUCAACCAGAGCCUUUUGCGCUCGAUCGCUACUUCAGUAUUCGUCUACAUAACGAUGCAAUUGCAGCUUGCUUUUCCGAAACGCAAUAUUCAUAAUAAUUAAGACACAAUGGGAAUGGUCACAUUGGUAUUCCAUACAAACGUACUCUGCUGUUUCUUCCGUGAUUUUUUACCCUAGAGCAAUGAUUUUACCGUCUACUGCUACUGUCACAUUGGCAUAAUGUGUAAAAUGUAUUAUUCACUGUUCAUUACUUACUUUUCUGUUACCUAUACAAAUAGUUAUUGUAGUAACGAAACGGCCAAGCCACACAGUUUGACUAAGGUGUAGAGUAUAUCGGCCCGAUUUGAAGAAUGAUUAAGACACGUUUAAGAUCUUGGAAAGAUUUGUCAUUUAUUUCAAUUCCGCUGUGGUCCCAAUAAGAUCUAUCUACGAUAUUUCUAACGUCAAAGUGCCAUUGGUUGCCCGAAUCGAGCUGCUUCUGUCAAUUAUACGACAUAGAAGCGAUAUCUAAAUGAGCACUUAUCUAAACCAGAACUUAUCGUUAUCGUAUCUCAUUCUUCGAAUCAGGCCAUAUGAAGUUAGGGCUUGUAGAGUUCAGGCGUGUAGAAUUAGAAGCUUGGCUUGGUUUGGGUCUCAUCAUGGCAACAUUUUACAUGAAAUUGUUUUUGGUCAUGAAACAGUUUUGUUUUUUUUUAAGUUGGCGAAAUAUUGGCUAAAACGGUCUAAUACUAGGUACAAACGGAAGCCUAUAUCGGCUAUAUCUGAUAACAAGUAGCACAAAAAUCAUGACAGACCGAAGCAGAACAUUUAAUUAUCAUUUGGAUUACAAAAUUUCGUUACAAUCAGUUAAGUUUUGUAGAAAGAAAGAGUCGAGUACGAAACCUAGUAAGUAGUAGAGCAGUUUAAAAAGAUUAAGACAGUUAAAUUAUCUACCUACGAUGUCUUAAAUACAUUAAAUUCAAACAUGACUAUAUUAAAGUUAGUUCAAAAUUAGUUAUUUACAUACCUACAAUCUAAAUGUAAGGUGAGAAACUUGAGUUGUGUUCAGCUGUUUUGUAUAUGUUUUGUUUUGUUGUGUUGUUGUUUUUAUAUGUAUAGCUAGUAAAAUAUAUUAAUAGGAAACUUAGUGGGCACUGAGCACCAUCUUUACUAUAAGUAUGUACAGUCAGCAUCUAAAAACUACACGUCAAAAUAUCUAAUAAGUUAAAAACAAAAAGACAUACGUCUCUAUAUAAAUAUAUGUAACAAAUAGACUCUAUUAGAAACCUACUUGAUCUCUAACUGUAAAGAUAUGGAUAUACGAGUAUAUGACAUGUUUGGAAAGUAUUCCACGGUGGCAGACAGUUUUGGUGCAUUGUUUCAUCCGCUACUAUUGAUGCUGACUGUUCACCCAACCGCGAAAAUGCAUAGCCACUAUGUGGAUGAAAUAUAAUGUGUAUAUGCAAUUUUGCAGUUCGCGUUACAUAUGUACGUGUUUUGCACACAUUAAAGCCGGAAUAACAUUAUUAAAUCAUGACGCGACGCCACCCGACGUGACACUGUGUGAACACGCGACGCCACCCGACAUGACACUGUGUGAACGCGCGACGCCACCCGACAUGACACUGUGUGAACACGCGACGCCACCCGACAUGACACUGUGUGAACACGCGACGCCACCCGACGUCACACUGUGGGAACACGCGACGCCACCCGACAUGACACUGUGUGAACACGCGACGCCACCCGACAUGACACUGUGUGAACACGCGACGCCACCCGACAUGACACUGUGUGAACACGCGACGCCACCCGACAUGACACUGUGUGAACACGCGACGCCACCCGACGUCACACUGUGGGAACACGCGACGCCACCCGACGUCACACUGUGGGAACACGCGUCGCAUCGAGCGGCGUCGCGUCUCGUGUUAACAAUGUGAUUGCGGCUUAAGUAUAAUCUCUGAAAAGAAACGUGUCAACCUGUUUAUUUUUUAAUGACGUAAGUAUUAGUAAUUGAAACUGUGUCAUGAACUUUUUAAGAAUUAUUUUUCAUUUGGCCAAUUUCGUCCAGGCAGAAAUAAAAUGAAUAUUAACAUACCUACUUAUAAUAUUUCAUCGUCUAUAAGCUGAUGUAUUCUAUGUAUUAUUUUCUUCGAUUGAGGUGUUCAAUAAUAAGUAUUAAUUGGAUUGUAUUAUAUUUAAAUUGCUUCACCCAAA